CCUGGCGGCGAUAGCGCGGUGGUCCCACCUGACCCCAUGCCGAACUCAGAAGUGAAACGCCGUAGCGCCGAUGGUAGUGUGGGGCUUCCCCAUGUGAGAGUAGGAAACUGCCAGGC
rnacentral:rRNA from 1 species